UACGAAGGGGGCUAGCGUUACUCGGAAUUACUGGGCGUAAAGGGCGCGUAGGCGGCGUUCCAAGUCAGGCGUGAAAGCCCUGGGCUCAACCUGGGGACUGCGCUUGAUACUGGAGUGCUUGAGGAUGGAAGAGGGUUGUGGAAUUCCCAGUGUAGAGGUGAAAUUCGUAGAUAUUGGGAAGAACACCGGUGGCGAAGGCGGCAACCUGGUCCAUUUCUGACGCUGAGGCGCGAUAGCGUGGGGAG
rnacentral:rRNA from 1 species